UUCAUGGGAACUAGUCUCGAGGAGAGGAUUGGGUCUCGCUCUGGGUUCGAACACAAGCUUCACCGACACGGCAAGCGUGACGUCAAUGAGCCACUGGCCACCGUGGGCGGCGGACGUCUGUGCUGCCGUGGCCUGGAGUGUUCUUGCUUUUGCACGCUUUUUCUAGUCAGUUGCUCAUCAAAAACUUUCCUGGUGUUGGACCACCGGAACAAGAGGACGAGAAGCAGACUGUAACAGUUUGUCUCAUCUAUUCAAACAUUCUAACAGCAUGGUCAUCAUCAUCUAAGUAAGUUCAUGUUCCCUUUUAUAAUAUGUGCAAUAAGGUCUGUGCAUGAGUAGGUAGUGAAAGAAUUUACCUUAAUUAGGCAGUUG